rnacentral:rRNA from 1 species
ACACCUACGGGUGGCAGCAGUAGGGAAUAUUUAGCAAUGGGCGAAGCCUGACUAUGCGACGCCGCGUGAGGGAUGAAGUAUUUCGGUACGUAAACCUCUUUCAUGGGGAAGAAACUCCCUGUAGUAAUACAGGAGCUGACGGUGCCCAGAGAAGAAGCCACGCCAACUCCGUGCCAGCAGCCGCGGUAAUACGGGGGUGGCGAGCGUUACUCGGAUUUACGGGUGUAAAGGGCAGGUAGGCGGCUUUGCAAGUUGAAGGUUAAAGCCUCUGACUUAAUCGAGAACUGCCUUCAAAACUACAUUGCUUGAGGACUGGAGAGGAAAGCGGAAUUCCCGGUUAAGGGUGAAAUCUGUAGAUAUCGGGAGGAACACCAGUGGCGAAAGCGGCUUUCUGGCCGCUUCUGACGCUGAGCUGCGAAAGCUUGGGGAGCAAACAGGAUUAGAUACCCUGGUAGUCAAGCCGUAAACGAUGAGGACUAGGUGUUGGGGGUUUUCUUCGGCGCCGUAAGUUAACAGUUAAGUCCUCCACCUGAAGACUACGACCGCAAGGUUAAAACUCAAAUGAAUUGACGGGG